rnacentral:lncRNA from 1 species
GUUAGUUCGUUUUGCUCUCCCCCAGCAGGGUUCGUUCAUUCAUGUGGCUCUACCCGAGCAGGAUUCAUUUGGCUCUUCUUCCCGAGCUGGGAUUUGUUAACCUCUGGCUGGUACAGUAGUUGAUGACUAGUUCGGUAGUCCAUGGUAAGCUGCUGAGGUCUCUUCUCCCCCACUCCAAGCCGGGCCGGCUGUGUUGUAUCGGAGAUAGCCUCUCGCAGCUGCGUUGGCCGUGUCCCCAAUGUCUGUAGCCAUGGGGGACAACAAACAUACAAUUACAGGGAUCAGCGGAGAGAGACAGGGGUCGAGGAGCAGCGAGGAGUCAGAUGUCUGUCUGUGGAGGGGUUCCCGGUCGAACGGCGUCCUUGAAUGCAAUCAGCAGAGAGGGACAGCGGUCGAGGAGCUGCGAAGAGUCAGAUGUCCAUCCGUGGAGAGGUUCACGGUCGAACGGCGCCUUGAAGAGUGACCUGGAGGAACCUUGUGCCGGCCAGCGAGUGCUGUCACACAAACACCUCUCACUGAUAAGGCCUCUACUGGGGCGCUCUGCACACAUUUCCUCUGGAUGUAUUUCUGAUGUCGUUGACCACAGCAGAGAGAGCUCCACACAGAAGGAAAAGAGGGAGGUUGAAAAAUAUCAUAUGGAUGACUUUGCUAAAUUGCAGAAGCUGUCAGUGGAUUCAGCUGAUAUAAGGAGAAGAUCUUUCAUUUCAAUAUGUUUCAUUUAAAUGUCUAUUGUAUCUGUUCCGCUCAUCAGUAUUGUGUGUGUGUGUGUGUCUAUACUCAUUCCUUAGCACACUUUUUUACCUUUAUAACCCAGAACAUUAUGAGCAUCAAAACGUCAUAUUGUCAUGUUUUUACAAAAGGUUAAACUUCAACCAAUUGUCGCUUAUGUCAACUGGUCAUGCUCCCAGCAGGCUUUGCAGUGUCAAUGGGAAAAGAUGAGUGUCACAGGGUUGAAGCUUAUGUCAAUACAUUGCAGUCAAUGGGAAAGGAAAAGCAUCAAACAAAUGACCCAUUUGUCAAUAAAUUGCAUUCAGGGGGAAAAAAUGAGUGUCAACCAAUUUACGCUUAUGCUAAUACAUUGCAAUCAAUGGUAAAAGAUGAGUGUCAC